ACCAGGGGUGCGGACGCCGUUCGGAACGUGCGCCCCGAAAAAGCCACGCGGCGGAUACCUCUAGAGCUCCGGAGCCGACGCUGCUGAGCGACGGCCGGCCAGUGCCCGAGGGUGCCGCGGAACAGUGGAAAGAGAGUUACGGUGUUAUGGUGAUCAGCCGCAUAAACUGCACUCUAGACGGCCUUAAAGGGUGAAAAAACCUGUCUUCGUAGUUGCCAGUGAUGAUGGAGCAGUGUCUCACCGAUGGAGGAGUCGUGGGAUGGCUCGUAAACGUGCGGGCGCCAGGGACGCUUUGGAGGGACUAGGAAGAUGAAAUCAAAAGGAAAAAAGGAGAAAGAUCCCCCCUGCAAAUCCAGUUCCCCCCUGCAAAUCCAUGCACCGGUUCAUCUGCUCGGCUGCUGCUGCUUGACAGAGUCAUUACUGCCUUGGCCUUCUGUGGACGUGUUUCAAACGCUCAUUGAGAGCUGAGGAGCCGAGUUGGCUUGUUUAUGACUUAGCUGACAAGCCCAGGCUA